AACAACCUUUGUCAUAUUCUAUUGGUUAGAUACAAGUCACAGGUCCCACCCACAUUGAAGAGGAGGGGACAAUAAGAGUGUAAUGCCAGGAACAGGGAUCAUGUAGUAUCACCUUAGGUUCAAUAUGUCACCAUCACUCUCCUUACGUUCUCUUAGAUUCCCAAUUUUCUUAUCAGUAUUAUCAGGAUAUGACAGAAUGAUGGUCAGACAUCUUCCAUGAGUUCAGGCAGCACCAUUUCUAAUGAGCACUAUUAUGCCUUCCACAAAGGAACUCAUGGCCUGUUAUCAAGGUGACUGUGCAAUGAGGAAAAGAAAAUGAUGAAAUUUUUGGAGAGUUACUGACUGAACACCAGCUGUGAAUUGAUACUAAUUUCUGGAGACAAAACAUGAGUUUGUCCACCAGUCAGUGUCAGAGCUUAUGGAGGUCAGAAGAUCAAUGGAGUUUUAGCUUAGAUCCAUCUUAUAGUGACCCAGUGGGUCGCCAAACCCAUCCUGCAGUUACUUCUCUAGUUCCAGAAUAAACAAUUGGAUAGAAAUAGUCAGCAACUGGCAGAAUUCCCAUAUUGGUUUACUGACCUCUAAAGUGAGAGCUAUUAUAGUAAGAAAAUACCAAAAGGAAGCCAAUAGAACUGCCUCUACUUUGAAAAAUAGCAAAUUAAAACCAAUAUCUUAUUUCUGGAAGGAUUGCAAACAUUAAUGCCAACAUCAGGAUGCAGAGGUAACAAUUCCCACCGCACCCUCACUCAACUUGCCUAUUUGCCUGUGUGGAAAAGAGAUGGAUCUUGGAGAAUAACAACAGAUUAUCCAGGAACAGAAUCAAGUGAACUUAAAUUGCAGUUGCUGUUUCAGAUGUGAUUUAAUUGCUUGAGCAAAUUAACACAUCCCUUGGUACCUGGUGUGCAGCCAUCGAUUUGUCAAAUGCUUUUUUCUUGAUAUCUGAUAACAUAGACAAGCAGAAGCAGUUUGUCUAGCUGGCAAGGCCACCGAUAAACCUGCACUUGAACUCGCUUGAACUCGGGAGGCACUAUCCUGCCUCUAGGGUAUAUCAACUCUCUAAACUUAUAUUUAGUCCAUAUAAAUUAAUUCAGCUAAAAUUUAGUCCACGGGGACUUUGAUUGCCUUUCCCUUCUACAAGAUAUCACACGGGUCUAUUACAGACGAGUAUUAUGGCGAUUGGACCUGCGAAGCAGGAAACAGCAACUGCUGUAGACGUAGUUGUAAGACAAUUGCAUGUCCAAGGAUGAAAAAUGAAUCUAGAAAAAUGCCACGGCCUUCUACUUCAGUGAAAUUUCUGGGGGUCUAGUGGUGUACAGCAGGGCAAGUUAUCCCUUCUAAGAUGAAGGAUAAGUUGUUUCAUCUGGCUUCUCCUACAACUGCAAAAGAAGCACAACGCUUAUAAGGCCUCUUUAAAUUUUGGAGACAACACAUUCUUUAUUUGGGUAUGGUACUCCAGCAUUUACUGGGUGACUUGAAAAACUGCUAGUUUUAACUGAGGUGUAGAAAAAGAAAAGGCUCUGAAACAGGUCCAGUUUGCUGUGGAAACUGCUCUGCCACUUGGAUCAUAUGAUUCAGAAGAUGCAAUAGUGUUUGAUGUGUCAGCAGCAGAAAGAGAUAUUGUUUGAAGACUUUUGCACACUUACGGGGAAAUACAGUGGAUGCCUUAUAUUUUGGAGCAAAGCCCUGAAAUCCUCUGUGCAUUACUGCUCCCCUUUGGAGAAACAGUUUUUGGCUUGCUACCAAGCCUUAAACUGAACACUUAGCUAUGGGCAACCAAGUAACCAUAUGACCAGAACUUUCUCUCACAUAUUGGAUGUUGUCUGUUCUACAAGCCAUAAAGUUGGGAAUGCACAAAAAUAUUGCAUUAUUGUAUGUGGAAGUCCUAUACAUAAAAUUAGGCUUAAGUAGGCCCUGGAGGCACAAGUUUAAUCAGGAAGUGAGCCAAAUAUUCAUGAUGCCAAUUCUUGCUGCACUACUUACUCUGUCUCCUAGUCUGCAGAUAUGGCCUUAUAACCAGUUCCCUACAACUAGUUGACGGAGGAAGACAAAACUUGAGCUUGGUUUAGUGAUGGUUCUGCACAAUAUGCAGACACUACCCAAAAGUGGAUGGCUGAAGCACUAUAGCCCAUUGUGGACAUUCCUGAAGACAGUGGAGAAGGAAAACCAUCCCAGUGGGUGGAAAUUUGAGUAAUGUACCCAGUUGUUUAUUUACUCAGAAGGAGAAAUGGCCAGAGGUUUAAGACUAUAUUAAUUCAUAGGCUAUAGCUAAUGGGUUGGCUGAAAGAUCGGGGGCUUGGAAAAAACAUUGUUGGAAAAUUGCUGAGGUAUGUGGAUGGAGACCCUCUAAGUGGGCACCAAAUCUGAAGAUAUCUAUGUCUUAUGUAAAGGCCUACCACCGGUUGCUUCACUAGAGGAGGGUUUUAUUAAUCAAGUGAAUAGAAUGAUCCAUCCCGUCAAUACCAGUCAGCUUCAUUUCCCAGCCAUUCUUGUCAUUACCCAAUGGUGACAGUUACGCAUGGGCUUACCCAUGCAUGGGCUCAGCACUAUGUCUACUCACUAAGGCCAACCUUGCUAUGGCCACUGUUGAGUGCCCAGUCUACCAGCAGAAGAGACCAACACUGAGUGCUUUAUAUGGACUCAUUCGUUAAGGUAAUCAUCCAGGUAACCUAGUGGCAACUUAAUUACAUUGGACCACUUCCACCAUGAUACAGGUGGUGGUUUUUUCUUAAAGAAAUAGACACUUAGUCUGGAUAUGGAUUUGCCUUUCCUGAAUGCAGUGUUUCUGCCAAAACUAUGAGCUUACAGAAUGAUCAUAUUCCCUGCCAUUCUGAAGCAGCUAGCUUGAUAGAAUGAUGAAAUAACAUGGUGAAGACUCAGUUACAAUAAUAGUUGGGUGGAAAUAAAUUGAAAAACUGGGGCAGGGACUAUGGCAUCCUCCAGGAUGCUGUAUGUACUCUAAAUUAAUGUUCAAUAUAUGCUGCUAUUACUACCAUAGUCAUAAUUCAAAUAACCAAAAUUGAAGGCAGGAAAAUGGGAGUGGUUCCACUUACUAUUAGCCCUAGUGUUUUACCAGCAAAUUUUAAAAACAUCUCUAAGACCUUCAGUUUUGCUAGUCUAGAGAUUCUAGUUUUUAAGGAAUAAAUGGUUCUACCAGAAGACAAAACAUGAUCCCACUGAACUAGAAGUUGAGACUGCCACACCAACAGUUUGGAUUACUCAUGCCUCUGAAAGAACAAUAAAAGAAUGAGGUUACUAUA